rnacentral:rRNA from 1 species
CCUACGGGUGGCAGCAGUGAGGAAUAUUGCUCAAUGGGCGCGAGCCUGAACCAGCGACGCCGCGUGAGGGAAGACGGUCCUAUGGAUUUUAAACCUCUUUUGUCGGGGAGCAAAAGACGCCACGCGUGGCGUUCCGAGAGUACCCGUAGAAAACGCAUCGGCUAACUCCGUGCCAGGAGCCGCGGUAAUACGGAGGUUGCGAGCGUUAUCCGGAUGUAUUGGGUUAAAAGGGUGCGCAGGCGGAAGCGCAAGCCAGCGGUAAAAGUGAGAGGCUCAACCUCUGCGAGCCGUUGAAACUGGUUUUCUGGAGUGAGCGAGAGGUAUGCGGAAUGCGUGGUGUAGCGGUGAAAUGCAUAGAUAUCACGCAGAACUCCGAUUGCGAAGGCAGCAUACCGGCGCUCAACUGACGCUCAUGCACGAAAGUGUGGGUAUCGAACAGGAUUAGAUACCCGGGUAGUC